rnacentral:lncRNA from 1 species
CCUUUUUUAUAACCGGCAUUACACGCCUCUUAAGAUGUUUUGAACAUGUUUAAAAAUAGAAAAAAUAAUAUUUAAUAAACAACUAAUUGAAUCACAUUAUUACUAGCCUAUUAUGAGGCUAAGCCCACCCCUCCCGCUUAGUGUAGAUAAUAUCAUUUGUUUAAAAAAACAAUCAUUUGACGACUAAUUUAAUGUAAUUUAAUCACAUUAUUAUCUGCGUUCAAAAGACCUUUUAACAACCGGCAUUAUACCCCUCUUAAGAUGUUUUGAACGUGUUUAAAAAUAGAGAAAAUAAUAUUUAAUAAACAA